rnacentral:tRNA from 1 species
UGCCUGGCAGUCCAGUGGUUAGGGCUCUGUGUUUUCACUGCUGAGGGUCCAGGUUCAAUCCCUGGUCAGGGAA